ensembl:lncRNA
UUAAAACUCUAAUAUAAUGACCUGGCUUGAAGCUCAGAGUUAUUGUAGACAGCAUUAUACAGACUUGACCAGUGUGAGAAACACAACAGAACACCUAGCUAUACAGGGACUGGUCACUGGAUCGGCUUGGAUUGGUCUGUUCAGAGACGCCUGGAAGUGGGGAGACAAAACCAACUUCUCUACCAUCAGUUGGAUGUCAGGAAAACCUGAUAAUGCCCUGGGGAAUGAAAAUUGUGGUUAUGUAAAUAACGGUCAGGCCGCUGGUGCACAGUGCUCAGAUGUAAUGCCUUUCUUCUGUUACUCAGAUGCAGAGAUAAUAAAAAAACAAAUCAUCAGACUGAAGAUCCAGUCCAAUCAGGAUGUUAACAAUCUGAUAUCACAGGCAGCCAUCUUAGAGCAGAUCAGACAAAAACUGAAGGAUCAUGGGAUGGCAGAGAACAUCACAGUGGAAUGGAGAAAGCAACCAAAUGGAGUAGUUUUUCACAAGGAGAAAGAAGGAGAUUAGAGCAGGAAAUAAGUGUAACCUUGAAGUCUUUAUGUUGAAGUGAUUUUCUUUAGGUUCCUGCUCGUUUUUAAAGACUGUCUGUAGCGAUUACAGGUAUAUUAAUAUUUAAUCUCUUACUAUCUCUAAUAAGUGACGAGGAGGAUAGAGUGACUAUAAAAAAGUGUAUGCACCAUUAUUAAAAAGUAUUAAAAAGGAAAUCAAUGUAAAUCAUAUUCAAUAUUUUUCCAGAUUAAAUGCGAAAACAAACUGAAAACAAAUAUAGACUUUCUGGGUAAAAUUUUUUCAAACAUUUUCAAAACAU